UGGGGAAUAUUGCACAAUGGGCGCAAGCCUGAUGCAGCAACGCCGCGUGAGGGACGACGGCCUUCGGGUUGUAAACCUCUUUUAGUAGGGAAGAAGCGAAAGUGACGGUACCUGCAGAAAAAAGCACCGGCUAACUACGUGCCAGCAGCCGCGGUAAUACGUAGGGUGCGAGCGUUGUCCGGAAUUAUUGGGCGUAAAGAGCUCGUAGGCGGUCUGUCGCGUCUGCUGUGAAAACCCGAGGCUCAACCUCGGGCCUGCAGUGGGUACGGGCAGACUAGAGUGCGGUAGGGGAGAAUGGAAUUCCUGGUGUAGCGGUGGAAUGCGCAGAUAUCAGGAGGAACACCGAUGGCGAAGGCAGUUCUCUGGGCCGUAACUGACGCUGAGGAGCGAAAGCGUGGGGAGCGAAACAGGAUUAGAUACCCUGGUAGUCCACGCCGUAAAACGUUGGGCGCUAGAUGUGGGGACCA
rnacentral:rRNA from 1 species